CAUAAAAAGAAAAUCUCUCUGUAGCUGGACAUUUACAGAGAGACCCAAAGUUGCCUAAAAUAGCUCUCAAUCAGUAAGAAUUUUAGCUCAAAUCUCUCAAUUUCCUAUGAAUCGUUCUAAUUGACAGUAAGAUUCUCACAAAUCAAGCUUCUCAAUUUACGAUGGCAAAGGGAAAAGAGGUCCAUCGAGGCAAAAUGUGGACUGAGACUCAUAAGAGAAAAGAUGGAAGUUAUGUAACUGAGGCGGCUAGAGAGAUUGGGGCCUCAAAUUUGGAUGCUGCUCAUCAGUCACCAAUUGGACCAACCAUCAACUAGAGCUCUUCAUAUCAAAGUAACAAUGAUGAUGGACUAAGCAUCAGCAUCAAGUAGAAAUCAUUUUUAGUAUUAUUUUUUUUGAAUGACACUUGAAAUUAGUAUUUUAAUGAGGUAACUUAGAGCUUUGAAUAACACUUCAAAACAUUAGUAUUUUGGUGAUGUAAUUUGGAGUACUUUUGCUUAAUAUGAUCGAUAUUU